UUAACAUUAUGAUUAAUGAAAGCUCUCCUGAAUUUCAAAUACCUUGAAAAGUAGCCAAUGCCUGCUCUUCCGAGGCCAUGUUGAAGAUAAAUAACAAUAAAAACAGGGUGAUCCAGGCUUUUGAAGUCUUUAAAGACAACCGUCACUGUGAUCUUUGUACCACUUUUGCAGAAAGGAGAACAUUUCACCGUUCUGGCACUACUAAGGCCAGCACAGCAACUGAAAGAAAGCGUGAAUUUCUGGGAGCAGCAUCAGGACACAGGACUCCUGCUGAGCUCACCAGCUCCUUGCUUCGCACAGCUGCCUUCUCAGCUGGGGGUUUUAAAUCAGCACUGUGAGGAAAGACAGAAAUGACCAUGGUGCAUUUGCCUCACUAUGAGAAAAAGAGUCCAUAAGACUGUUCUAUACAUCAGUGUCUCUUUUGCUGAGCUGACUGGAGUUUUGAGAAUUCAAAAGAUCUUCUGGGAAGCCAUCUAAUAAGGGCAACUGGGAAAAAGAUGGCAGUUAAAUAUAAGCAGAUGUUUUAAAUCAAUAUAGCUGAAAAUUGGAAAGAGGGAAGGGCGUUGAAGUCAGUAAAAUCAAACCCUGGGAGGAACACCCCAUUACCAUUAAAAUGAAGGAGCUGAAUCGAGGAGACAGAGAAAU